GGUUGUUAACUGUGCUGGUCGCUUGUGUCAUUUGCUCCUGCUAGGACUAAAAUAUUUGUAUGGUGUUUCAGAAAUGGAAAGAAAUCCUCUCUAAAGCCUUGUCCUCGGUAUUUAAGACCCAGUGAGAGAGACGCUUGUCAUCGCGGGCGCAUCCUCCUUUGGCCUCGGAACUGUGCUGCGACAACCAAGACCUCGGAAAGUACAAAGUCGCCACCUACGCGGCCACAGUACCCCCCGUUAUGCUCAAAUAGAAAAGGAGGGUCUGCCGCUGGUCUUUGAGAGUGAAAAGUUCAGCGACUACCACUACCAGAAAAAAUUCUUCUCGAGACUGACCACAAGGCUCUAGUGAGUCUGUUCUCAACAACACAGCUUGAUGACUUUUAGCCAAUAUUGCAGAGGAUGCGUUUUAUGGGAUACAGGCACCCACGAGAUAAAGUACGAGGGUCGGACUGAGUAAUUUUGUCUUUUUCUUCUUUUUUUGCGAACGUACCUGUAACAGCAGACGAAGGAGACUGCAUUGGUAGGUGGGUAGCGACAGCUGCUCCAUUGCCCUGUUGUGACCACUGGCACUCCUCCUAGCAACAUGGCCGUCAACGAUAUGUCGUUUCAUCGUUUGCCGUUGCUAUCAUCGAAUUUAUCGUAGUCACUGAUGCAGAAAUUCGCCACACACUUGAAUGCUUAUGGCAGUGUGUGCAUGGGUGAUAGCAGUGUCGGGACGUGCGCUAAACGUCAAACAUGUGGGAACACCAGCAUCGAAAAUCAGCUUCCGUGAGUGGUCACCCUCGGACAGCUUCAACUCAAUAGCAAAGAAAGAGUGGAUGCGAUUACUCAAGCAGACAGGAGUGUGACUGUGUACAUUAUAGCCGGAACACUUGGAAUAAGGCCCAACGCAGUGCAAGCGAUGAUGGUACAGGAAAGUUUGUGCUCGGUGAGUCCCGCGCUUAUUGACCGAAGACAACAAAAGUCAGCGAAAAGCCAUCACCUCAGCAAUGCUGCAGCGAUAUCGGCACGAAGGCGCUGACAUUUUGCUUGGCAUUGUGACAGCUUGUGUCAUAAUUCAUCCACAAAUCUCCUUUCUGGAGCUCUAAAGGUAUCCGCACUAUUAUCAAGAUGAGAGGUUGAGCUACCAUCGGGAGUUCAUUCCUGCGCCUAUAGCAGAAGAACGGUGCCAUGUCGGAGGAUUGCAGUCUGAGGUUCUCCACUCCUCCAUAUCGCUGGAUUUCUCGCCGCUUUCAUACCUAUUCGAUAGUGCGGACACUUACGAAAAGGAAGGGCUGGAAGAAACUUUUCAGUGAAUUGUACGUGAGAAGUAACCGGUCUCUAUGUGAGGCGCAGAUGUAGAGGGGUGCGUCUUGGGUCAACUUCAUGAGGAACUGUGCCGACACGCCCGAAACGUCUACUGGACCGCCAAGAGUUGUCAGCUGUCUACGCCUGUUUAAAUGCAUUUCGGCGAUUGUAACACCGUUUUAAAGUGUCUUGCACAUGGGUGCAGUGUUGACUGUUUAUAUUCCUGCAAGAAAUUUGUAUGUGCUUACCGCAGAACAACUGAACAUUACCCACUUUGCUUGAUGGAAGAAGCAAGGAGAACUUUGUCCGGUCUUCCCGAUAGCUCAGUUUCAGUUACUCGUCUCUUGUGCCCCUGAAAAUCCUUCGAUUCACUUUUAUGUGCCGCUUUUGUUACACUUGACAUUUUAGGAGCAGUGAGACCAGGUAUACGACUGUAUUCUUGGAAGAUCCUCGACUUCACACCCUCAGGGAAGGAAGCGCUCCUCCACUUAGGCUAAGGAGCCAUGGGGCUUCAAGGAAACACCGGAGCUAUACUGUUUAGUACCCGAGUAUUGCCUUUCCUCGAGGGGAGAUUCGAGCUAACGUCGACUUGUGAAGCACAAAACCAGUCUCUCCUGGAGCUGCCCGAGUGGAGUAUCGGGUUGAAGGUCGUUGAAUACUUCCCUUAAGAACCACGAAGCCCUGCGAGAAUGCAGAGUGCUUUCGCUGUGCGUUGCCUUAUUAUUGCGCCAUUCCAAUUACAAAAACGCCCUGAAAAAUCGGGCGAGUCGGUGUGACCCUAGGUCGCGGUCCGUUCUGCUGCUGUGACGUAACGAGCAGCUGUAUCCGAGCGGUCCAACGGGCACUCCCAUCGUAUCGCCCAGCGUUACGGAGUGGUCAACCUCAUUAAUACUUUUACGCGAUGUUUGAAUGAGUUCAGGGGUUUCUAGACCGCGUCCAAGAUUAAACAUUGCAGCAGACGAGGGGCGGUCCCUGCGUUGAACCAUUCAUGAUUUGCAUGCGGCGCAAGGGUAAACCCGAUCAUAUUUUGCCAAGGGCCUCGUUCUCCAUCUGCCCACGUCUGGAUGACGCUUAUAGCCACAGUUGCUUCGCGGCGUUAAUACGGGAUCAAAGAGAAGCACACAUAGUUUUAUCCCACCGGAAGCGCCCUACGGAAACUAUUGGCGAAUUCGGGUGGGAAUGUCCCUGGAGACAGGCCGUCCGCCGAAGUAACGAGGGCGGA